GAUGAACGCUGGCGGCGUGCUUAACACAUUCAAGUCGAACGGAGUUAUGCGACGGAAGCCUUCGGGUGGAAGAUGCAUAACUUAGUGGCGGACGGGUGAGUAACGCGUGAGCAACCUGCCUUUGUGAGGGGAAUAACGUCUGGAAACGGACGCUAAUACCGCAUAACACAUACUGACCGCAUGAUUGGUAUGUCAAAGAUUUAUCGCACAGAGAUGGGCUCGCGUCUGAUUAGAUAGUUGGUGAGGUAAUGGCUCACCAAGUCAACGAUCAGUAGCCGGACUGAGAGGUUGAACGGCCACAUUGGAACUGAGAUACGGUCCAG
rnacentral:rRNA from 1 species